rnacentral:rRNA from 1 species
AUACGAAGGGGGCUAGCGUUGUUCGGAAUAACUGGGCGUAAAGCGCACGUAGGCGGAAUGUUAAGUUAGAGGUGAAAUCCCAGGGCUCAACCCUGGAACUGCCUUUAAUACUGGCAAUCUAGAGAUCGAGAGAGGUGAGUGGAAUUCCGAGUGUAGAGGUGAAAUUCGUAGAUAUUCGGAGGAACACCAGUGGCGAAGGCGGCUCACUGGCUCGAUACUGACGCUGAGGUGCGAAAGCGUGGGGAGCAAACAGAAUUAGAUACCCGAGUAGUCC